GCUGCAGGGGAAGCUGUUGUGGCCGCCGAAACCACACCGGAGUUUCUGCCCGUUUCUGUCGCCAGAGAACCUCGCUGCCGUCGCCGGAGAACUCUUCCGUCGUCGUGAUUGGAAUUCGUUGCCGCUGUCACUUGAGGUGGCUGCUGGGCUGCCGUCGAGCCGGUUCGGAGACCACCGCUGUGUCGGUUCAGCCGUUCCUCCUUCGGUUCGAGUUGUUGAGACUGUUGCAAAAGUGGCUGGGAGCUGAGGUUUUAGUUCCCGUCAGUUCGAGUUGAGG